UGAGGAAUAUUGGUCAAUGGGCGCGAGCCUGAACCAGCCAAGUAGCGUGCAGGAAGACGGCCCUAUGGGUUGUAAACUGCUUUUAUGCGGGGAUAAAGGAGUCCACGUGUGGAUUUUUGCAGGUACCGCAUGAAUAAGGACCGGCUAAUUCCGUGCCAGCAGCCGCGGUAAUACGGAAGGUCCGGGCGUUAUCCGGAUUUGUUGGGUUUAAAGGGAGCGUAGGCCGCGUUUUAAGCGUGUUGUGAAAUGUAGACGCCCAACGUCUGCAUCGCAGCGCGAACUGGGACGCUUGAGUACGGGCGACGUUGGCGGAAUUCGUGGUGUAGCGGUGAAAUGCUUAGAUAUGACGAGGAACUCCGAUUGCGAAGGCAGCUGACGGGAGCGGCACUGACGCUUAAGCUCGAAGGUGCGGGUAUCAAACAGG
rnacentral:rRNA from 1 species